GCCCGCGGGGCCAUGGGGCGCCGCCGCCCCGGGCCGAACGCGGCGCUCGGCGGUGCUGGCGGGGCCCGGCAGGAGGUGCUGUCGCUCCGCGGAUGGCGCAACAAUCUGCUCUCUGGAAAUUGCUGCAAUGCUUGUCAAAAGUCACUGUUUUAUCCCAUAAUUUUCUACAAGGAGCCAGCAAGAAGAACACAGUGGAGGCCAAGCCAGCAGCAGUCCUCCUGAACUUCAGACUGGAUUCAUUUAGUGGAUUGGAACUCCUAGGUAUUUUGUGCUUCACAGUACACCUCUUCAGAGAAGUGGGAAUCUUAAGCUUGAAAGACUCCUGAGGCAAAUGGUAUUUCAGUCUCAUUGAAAUCCAGUGAGGCACCAAGCACUGAACAAAAACCCCCCAGAAAUUACAGAAGAAAUAACAGGAGAGACUUGAAAUCACCUGAAUCAAUAGGAGUUCUUACCCUGCCCUGCAGAUAGGAAUUAAGGCUGAUCAGGACAUACUCUUUGUCCUAGUACUACUCUGAAACAAAGAAAGAUGAGGACUGGAAUUGCAGAUUCAGAGAAGGCAAGUUAUAAAAUACUUUACAAUCUGAAGCGGUAGAAUAAAUACAAUGUGGAAAACAUUUAGAAGACUUCCAGAAUUGCUGCAUGAUGUCCUUCAAUAUUUUGUUUGGCUUUCAUUUUACAGUCAUUUUGCAAAUAUGUAGUGCAUAAAAUGUAUCAUUAUCACCUAACUAACAUACUUUAUUAGGUAUGUAAUUUUGUUCUUCCAUCAAAAUAGAAUGUAUCUUAUCCGGCUAGAAUAUAACUGCUCAAUCUGCAUUAGAUCCAGAAUGAGUGGAUUUGUGGCUUUUUUCCUGCGAUCAUGUUUUUUUAAGUUCAACUGUCCAGAUCUCUCAAAACAUUUUUCUGCUUUAUUCAAUAAAUGACGUCAUUCUAUCUAUCCUAAGAAGUUACAUCACGAACAUUUUUGUGCCCUGGAAGAGAAAGAUGAAAUGUCUUUGAAAGCUAGCAAGAAUCUACUAUUCUUGCAUAGACAUUUAAUCACACACAGUUAAAAACCUACAUUAAAUGCCAAAACUUACAUCACUUUAGCUUUUGAUGUUGUAAGUCCAAACUUGUACCUCACAAAAAAUGUAGAAUUUAGAGACAUUUACAGAAAAGUAAUUUUAUUUUCCCUAAGGUUUCUUUCUUGCCGGUGUCUUCCAGGCUGGUGAACAUUGCUCAAAGAUUGCAAAAAACUGAUUCAAGAAUAAGUCUUUCUGUGGGUUAAUUCCUAGUCCUCAUUCUUGCAGGGUGGGCUGGUUUUGAAUUUUUGUUUGCUUUCUUAUUUUUGAAGUACACAGGUACAGUCCAAAUUCAGAGACAGAAGUCUCCCUACUUAUAAAUUAGAGGAUCUUCUUGCAUGUUCAAUAAUACCCUUCAAGGCAUGAGAAGUAUUUAAUACUUGUGUUCCUUUUUCAUAUUUGUUGUU